rnacentral:lncRNA from 1 species
CCACUACCUUACUUUCUUUGUACCAGUUGGUUCUAGAGUUGUACCAAAUACCAAUAAUUAUAAGAGAAUUACCAUAGAACCCUUAAAUUUUCGAACCACAUAAAGUCACAAACGGUAAAAAGGUCGUGAAAUGAGGGUAAAAGAGGAAAUUGAGUACAAUAUAAAUAGGUAGCUUGACCGAUGAAAUUAGGGUUAAGAGCUCAGAUGGAAAGAAUGAGGGCAGAGGGAGGUUAGGAAUUUCUGAAGGGUGGUUGCCUCUCCCAUUUGCCCGAUGAUUUCCUCUUUUAAACCAAAACCAACAACCCUUGAUCUUGUAUGUGUAUGUAUCAACUAUAUAUACACUACUUACAGAAAGAAAGAGAGAGACUGGGGAAUAUUCUGUUUCUUCUGCUGGUUAUCGAAACUCGGACCUUUCAUAUUACUAAGAACUUGGGGUUCAACCUUUACUAAGUACUUGUUUGGCAAAGCUAAAAAGUGUUUUAAGAGGCUGUGAUGAUAAUCUUCUUUAUUCCUCUGAGCUGAUGAAUUGGGCAGGGAGACGAUUCGUAUCUUGGCGGGGCAACCCGGAUGGCAUGUGGGUCGGGUUUCCCCCCUUUUCUCACACACGCAAUCGGUGAUUUUGCAGCCAUGGCGUUACCGUCCCUCUUGCCUGACUUGAAAACAGAUCUGAGCCUCAAUUUUCUUUCCCGUUUGGUAGUGAUUUUAGAAUAUUUUCUAUUAAUUUAAGUGGUUUGUCGAAUUAUAAGAAAAAAUAAGAUAACAAAAGGGGUAUCGAUGUUUAUAUUCACAAUAUUUAUAUAUACUCACUUUUAAAAAGAUAAUUAUAUU